AUCAAUCACUUUGUCUCUGCACAAUGAACAUUAUCAAAUAUUAUUAAUGUUGUAAAAUAUAUUGUUCAUUGUUAGUUCAUAUUAGCUAAGGCAUUACCAAAUGUUAAGGAAUAAACUCUUAUAGUAAAGUGUUACUAAAUUUUCUUUUACCAUUUCCUUCACAAUGUCUAUUUAUUUCUAUGGCUAACAGAUUUUGUAACAUUUGUCUUUUUUACAGUCUUACCAUUGCUUGUAAACUGGAUUGGGUAAGAUGGAUCAUCUUUAAAGGCACCAGGAGUUAAGGCAGAUGUGGAGGCACAACGGGUGAUACCAGACACACACCAAGCACAUUAUGUUCGGACAUUCAAUCAUGACAGGAUCCAGGUGGAUGCUGUCCAUUGAUGAAAGAGUUUGUUCAGCGGUUUCUGGAUAGAAUUAAUUCCAAAGAUGGGAAAAAGUGCACAUCCAGACAAGGAGCAAGCAAAAAGACAAGGAACUUGGUGCAGAGAAAAGCUGUGGCCAUUAACCCCCAUGUGAACAGCUUCAUGCAGUCCCUGAUUGAGUUCGAAUGGACGACUUCAAAGUAAAGGCCACUGUGGUCUGUCUGCCACAGUUUAAUGCAUUUAUUUUUAGUGUUAAAUGAAAUUUAAGUAGAAUAUUUAAAACUAUGGGCCAGUGUUCUUUUUACCACAGUGAAAUGUUACCUUUUAGUCGAUGAUGGACUUUAAACUGAAAACUUCAAACUAUGGACCAGUGUUCUAUUUGCCAGAGUUAAAUAUGUUACAGCAGGGGUCUCCAAACUUGUUUAUACUUGUUGAUUUUAUUUUAUGUUACUUGAUUAUAUGUUUA